CCUACGGGUGGCAGCAGUGAGGAAUCUUGGUCAAUGGACGAGAGUCUGAACCAGCCACGUAGCGUGAAGGAUGACUGCCCUAUGGGUUGUAAACUUUUUUUAUAUGGGAAUAAAAUGUUCCACGUGUGGGAUUCUGUAUGUACCAUAUGAAUAAGGAUCGGCUAACUCCGUGCCAGCAGCCGCGGUAAUACGGAGGAUCCGGGCGUUAUCCGGAUUUAUUGGGUUUAAAGGGAGAGUAGGUGGAUUGUUAAGUCAGUGGUGAAAGUUUGCGGCUCAACCGUAACAUUGCAGUUGAAACUGGCAGUCUUGAGUACAGUAGAGGUGAGCGGAAUUCGUGGUGUAGCGGUGAAAUGCGUAGAUAUCACGAAGAACUCCGAUGGCGAAGGCAGCUCACUGGACUGCAACUGACACUGAGGCUCGAAAGUGUGGGGAUCAAACAGGAUUAGAUACCCUUGUAGUC
rnacentral:rRNA from 1 species